GACAGAGGGUGCAAACGUUGUUCGGAAUUACUGGGCAUAAAGAGCACGUAGGUGGCCCGCUAAGUCACGUGUGAAAUCCCCCGGCUCAACCGGGGAAUUGCGCGUGAUACUGCGGGGCUAGAGUGCAGAAGGGGCAACUGGAAUUCUCGGUGUAGCGGUGAAAUGCGUAGAUAUCGAGAGGAACACCUGCGGCGAAGGCGGGUUGCUGGGCUGACACUGACGCUGAUGUGCGAAAGCUAGGGGAGCGAACGGG
rnacentral:rRNA from 1 species